GCUGGGCAUGGUGGCUCAUGCCUGUAAUCCCAGCACUCUGGGAGGCAGAGGCGGGUGGAUCACCUGAGGUCAGGAGUUCAAGAUCGGCCUGGGCAACAUGGUGAAACCCCGUCUCUA
rnacentral:SRP_RNA from 1 species